rnacentral:rRNA from 1 species
UACGAAGGGGGGCUAGCGUUGCUCGGAAUGACUGGGCGUAAAGGGCGCGUAGGCGGUUUGUACAGUCAGGUGUGAAAUUCCCGGGCUCAACCUGGGGGGCUGCACUUGAUACGUAUGGACUUGAGUGAGGAAGAGGGGUCGUGGAAUUCCCGGUGUAGCGGUGAAAUGCGUAGAUAUCGUAAGGAAGACCAGUGGCGAAGGCGGGUCUCUGGACAGUUCCUGACGCUGAGGCACGAAGGCCAGGGGGAGCAAACGGG